rnacentral:rRNA from 1 species
GACGAACGCUGGCGGCGUGCUUAACACAUGCAAGUCACGGGGGCUCGCAAGGGCAACCGGCGAACGGGUGCGUAACACGUGAGCAACCUGCCGAUCUGAGGGGGAUAGCCGGCCCAACGGCCGGGUAAUACCGCAUACGUUCUUGUGGCCUCAUGGCUGUGAGAAGAAACCUCCGGGGCAGAUCGAGGGGCUCGCGGCCUAUCAGCUAGUUGGCGGUGUAAUGGACCACCAAGGCGACGACGGGUAGCUGGUCUGAGAGGAUGGCCAGCCACAUUGGGACUGAGAGACGGCCCAGACUCCUACGGGAGGCAGCAGUGGGGAAUCUUGCGCAAUGGCCGAAAGGCUGACGCAGCGACGCCGCGUGUGGGAUGAAGCAUUUCGGUGUGUAAACACUGUUGCCCGGGACAACAUCCUCUUUCGAGAGGACUGACGGUACCGGGUGAGGAAGCACCGGCUAACUCCGUGCCAGCAG